UACGUAAGGUGCGAGCGUUAAUCGGAAUUACUGGGCGUAAAGCGUGCGCAGGCGGUUCGUUGUGUCGGCGGUGAAAGCCCCGGGCUCAACCUGGGAAUGGCCGUUGAAACUGGCGAACUGGAGUGUGGCAGAGGGGGGUGGAAUUCCGCGUGUAGCAGUGAAAUGCGUAGAGAUGCGGAGGAACACCGAUGGCGAAGGCAGCCCCCUGGGCUGACACUGACGCUCAGGCACGAAAGCGUGGGGAGCAAACAGG
rnacentral:rRNA from 1 species